GAAAGAUGGUUUCGGCUAUCGCUUACAGAUGGGCCCGCGGUGCAUUAGCUAGUUGGUAGGGUAAUGGCCUACCAAGGCAACGAUGCAUAGCCGACCUGAGAGGGUGAUCGGCCACACUGGGACUGAGACACGGCCCAGACUCCUACGGGAGGCAGCAGUAGGGAAUCUUCCGCAAUGGACGAAAGUCUGACGGAGCAACGCCGCGUGUAUGAAGAAGGUUUUCGGAUCGUAAAGUACUGUUGUUAGAGAAGAACAAGGAUAAGAGUAACUGCUUGUCCCUUGACGGUAUCUAACCAGAAAGCCACGGCUAACUACGUGCCAGCAGCCGCGGUAAUACGUAGGUGGCAAGCGUUGUCCGGAUUUAUUGGGCGUAAAGCGCGCGCAGGCGGUCUUUUAAGUCUGAUGUGAAAGCCCCCGGCUUAACCGGGGAGGGUCAUUGGAAACUGGAAGACUGGAGUGCAGAAGAGGAGAGUGGAAUUCCACGUGUAGCGGUGAAAUGCGUAGAUAUGUGGAGGAACACCAGUGGCGAAGGCGACUCUCUGGUCUGUAACUGACGCUGAGGCGCGAAAGCGUGGGGAGCAAACAGGAUU
rnacentral:rRNA from 1 species